GUUAGCCAUAGGCCUGUAUCAAUUAGAAAACGUUCCAAGUUGUAGGCCUACAAAUCAAAAGCAAACAGAAACACAGUUAUAAUAGUCGAACAUUUUUCCCAGUUAUUGAGAGAGGCUACAUAUUUCGAAAUUGUUUCCAGGUCAUCUCUUUUAACUCUUUAGCCCACAACUUCUGCUUUCGACACCAUUUUCAUCUUCAACGGUCAGGGGCCAGGACUGCAAACAGCCCGACCUGUGUGGGCAUUUUAAGAUGAACAUCCCAAUUUUCUUACUUAUUUUAUUGGGUGUACAUCUUUCCAAAGAGCAACAGACGACUGAGAGGUUUGGAGAAAUAUUGCUCAGAUUGGACUUCCCUAUGUACUUCGACAGCUUCGACAAGUCUUGCUGUAGGAUGUUUCAGGCUGGAUGUUUCAUAGCGAUGGACAACAGAGGUUAUGUGUGUAACCUACUCCGGGGACGGGCCACCCUAACAGAGAGAAGCGGCUCGGUGGAGUUCAGAAUAACCAACGCGCAGCUCAUAGACGGAGGCCAUUACAGGUGUUAUGUUGAGGGAAGCCACAACGUCUUCAAAGACUUUGUCGUCGAGGUCUCUGAACCUUCCGAGCUUCGUCCACACUCGCUAGUGUCGACCCUCCAACCCUCGUCGACGAUAACGACCCCUCCGACCCCUGCUACCGGGUCCAGUCCGCCCCAGUACCGUAAGAGAAGUCCUAUUGCUCCCUGGACGCUAUACGUGCUGUUGGCUACGAGUUUGUCAAUCACCACCAUCGCUCUCAUUGGAUGUGUGACUGCCGUCGUUUGCUGCCUACGCAAGAAGUCGAAAAACCAAGUUGUUGAAAGCCAGCCUGACUCAUCCAAACACAUGACCCCUGAAGCGAGCUCCAUAGUCUACACAACAGUGGACUUCAAACACCAACAGCUAACACCCAUACAGCUCUAUGAAAACCUGGAGAUGAGAGCCCUUACCACCAAACAGAGCAAAGAUCUCUGCAGAUCUCCCGAGACAGUGGAGUACUGCACAUUGGCUCCUAGACGAUAAAUGUAGCGGCAAAGCAACAUUCCUUUA
rnacentral:lncRNA from 1 species